rnacentral:rRNA from 1 species
AUAUUGGACAAUGGGCGCAAGCCUGAUCCAGCGACGCCGCGUGGGUGAAGAAGGCCUGCGGGUUGUAAAGCCCUUUCGGUGGGGAAGAAAAGUCUCGGCCUAAUACGCUGGGACCUUGACGUAACCCACUAAAGAAGCACCGGCUAACUCUGUGCCAGCAGCCGCGGUAAUACAGAGGGUGCGAGCGUUAAUCGGAAUUACUGGGCGUAAAGCGCGCGUAGGCGGCUUUGCAAGCCGGAUGUGAAAUCCCCGGGCUUAACCUGGGAACUGCAUUCGGGACUGCAUUGCUAGAGUAUGGGAGAGGGAAGUGGAAUUUCAGGUGUAGCGGUGAAAUGCGUAGAUAUCUGAAGGAACAUCAGUGGCGAAAGCGACUUCCUGGACCAAUACUGACGCUCAUGUGCGAAAGCGUGGGGAGCAAACAGG